ACGGACCAGACUCCUACGGGAGGCAGCAGUGAGGAAUAUUGGACAAUGGGCGGAGGCCUGGUCCAGCCAUGCCGCGUGCAGGAAGAAUGCCCUAUGAGUAGUAAACUGCUUUUAUACGGGAAGAAAAAGGGCUACGUGUAGCCUGUUGACGGUACCGUAAGAAUAAGGACCGGCUAACUCCGUGCCAGCAGCCGCGGUAAU
rnacentral:rRNA from 1 species